GUGACUGCGUACCUUUUGUAUAAUGGGUCAGCGACUUAUAUUCUGUAGCAAGGUUAACCGUAUAGGGGAGCCGGAGGGAAACCGAGUCUUAAUUGGGCGUUAAGUUGCAGGGUAUAGACCCGAAACCCGGUGAUCUAGCCAUGGGCAGGUUGAAGGUUGGGUAACACUAACUGGAGGACCGAACCGACUAAUGUUGAAAAAUUAGCGGAUGACCUGUGGCUGGGGGUGAAAGGCCAAUCAAACCGGGAGAUAGCUGGUUCUCCCCGAAAGCUAUUUAGGUAGCGCCUCGUGAAUUCAUCUCCGGGGGUAGAGCACUGUUUCGGCUAGGGGGCCAUCCCGGCUUACCAACCCGAUGCAAACUGCGAAUACCGGAGAAUGUUAUCACGGGAGACACACGGCGGGUGCUAACGUCCGUCGUGAAGAGGGAAACAACCCAGACCGCCAGCUAAGGUCCCAAAGUCAUGGUUAAGUGGGAAACGAUGUGGGAAGGCCCAGACAGCCAGGAUGUUGGCUUAGAAGCAGCCAUCAUUUAAAGAAAGCGUAAUAGCUCACUGGUCGAGUCGGCCUGCGCGGAAGAUGUAACGGGGCUAAACCAUGCACCGAAGCUGCGGCAGCGA
rnacentral:rRNA from 10 species